UGGUGAUGAUGUCUAAACUCACGAUGGUCUGCAGAGCCCCUGUUGUGCUCUUGGGGGCUGCUGAAAAUGCCAAUUGAGCUCUUGCUGAACCGUAAAG
rfam:Alligator mississippiensis ScZkoYb_434.1, whole genome shotgun sequence.